UGGGGAAUAUUGGACAAUGGGCGAAAGCCUGAUCCAGCCAUGCCGCGUGAGUGAUGAAGGCCUUAGGGUUGUAAAGCUCUUUCAGUGGGGAAGAUAAUGACGGUACCCACAGAAGAAGCCCCGGCUAACUUCGUGCCAGCAGCCGCGGUAAUACGAAGGGGGCUAGCGUUGUUCGGAUUUACUGGGCGUAAAGCGCACGUAGGCGGAUCAUUAAGUCAGGGGUGAAAUCCUGGAGCUCAACUCCAGAACUGCCUUUGAUACUGGUGAUCUUGAGUCCGGAAGAGGUGAGUGGAACUCCUAGUGUAGAGGUGGAAUUCGUAGAUAUUAGGAAGAACACCAGUGGCGAAGGCGGCUCACUGGUCCGGUACUGACGCUGAGGUGCGAAAGCGUGGGGAGCAA
rnacentral:rRNA from 1 species